rnacentral:rRNA from 1 species
GAUGAACGCUGGCGGCGUGCCUAAUACAUGCAAGUCGAGCGAACGGACGAGAAGCUUGCUUCUCUGAUGUUAGCGGCGGACGGGUGAGUAACACGUGGAUAACCUACCUAUAAGACUGGGAUAACUUCGGGAAACCGGAGCUAAUACCGGAUAAUAUUUUGAACCGCAUGGUUCAAAAGUAAAAGACGGUCUUGCUGUCACUUAUAGAUGGAUCCGCGCUGCAUUAGCUAGUUGGUAAGGUAACGGCUUACCAAGGCAACGAUGCAUAGCCGACCUGAGAGGGUGAUCGGCCACACUGCAACUGAGACACGGUCCAGACUCCUACGGGAGGCAGCAGUAGGGAAUCUUCCGCAAUGGGCGAAAGCCUGACGGAGCAACGCCGCGUGAGUGAUGAAGGUCUUCGGAUCGUAAAACUCUGUUAUUAGGGAAGAACAUAUGUGUAAGUAACUGUGCACAUCUUGACGGUACCUAAUCAGAAAGCCACGGCUAACUACGUG